rnacentral:lncRNA from 1 species
ACCUCUUUCAUAUCCCUGAGUCCCUGCGAUGCUGUGACCUUACCUCCUCCUUUCAACCUGUCUUCAGGAUUAGGAUCAAUACCUGCUGCUUGGCUUUUAUUCAAGUGAUGGAUAGCUUUGGAAACUCUUAUCUGGGCUGGUUUGCUGUCUCCAUCUGAUACUUCAAACUGACCUUCAGCCUAGGAGUCUUAAAAAAAAUGUCCAUGUUUUAAGGAAAGAUGGAUGAUCCUCUCUGUUUUAAACAAGAAGGAAAAUCUUUUGAUCAGAAUGGAAGCAAUGGAGGAAUUUGGUUCUGUUUUGUUUCAAGAAGUCUUUAAAAACCUGUGAAUAGGUUAUCCUUCUUUCCUUUAAUUAUGUUUGUGUCCCAAAUUCAGUAAAGAACUGGCUAGGAGAAGAGAAGGCUCAAGAAAUACAGAGACAUCAAGAAAUAGCUGAGAUUUCAUCUAGACACUCAAAUUAGACUCCCACAGUGAAAUUAAAACUUUCCUCAAGGUUGCUCAUCCUUAUAGAUCCUAGGGAGCUUUGUACUUGGGCUUUGAGCUCAAGCGGGAAAAGAUAUGCCACAGAUUUCAUCCAGAAAUGGUCUUUUUCACCCCAUCUCCAGCAGGGAUUAGACCUACGUCUGCUGUUGCUGUGCGGGCUGGUGGACAUGAGCCUCUCAGCACCUUCAAGUGUCCAGUUCCAGCAGAGAACUGGCAUAUGUCACCAGGAAGCCCUCACGCACCUGCCCUGGACUCAGGGAGGCUCAAGGAAGAGGUUCUGUGGAGGCUGGAGGAGCUGUGGGUGGGGCAGAUGCCUCACACCCGAAGAUGAGCUAACAGACUGUCCCCCAACCCCCCAGCAAGCCUGAUCUUAUUACACUGGCAAACUUUAUGUUGUUCUCACUUUCUGCCUCAUUCAUGUAUUUAAGAAAUUGUUCUUGAAGGAAAAGCGAUAGUAGAGAUUGAAUAAAUAAAUGGAAAAGGUACUUGAGACUUACCCA